AUUACGAAAAUUGAUUGGUUUUAUUGGGCUAGCUCCCUCACUUUCUUUCGCUUCUAUUCGGCCCAUAGAUUUUAUAUUCAAUUUUUAUUUCGUAUUUUUUGCUGAUUAUUGCAGGCGAAAAUUCCACAAAAUUCUCUCCCAUCUCUCUCAGGAGGUGAUUCUCUCUAAUUUUCUCUUACGCGUACAUGUAUAUGAUGCAAACUGGAUUUAAAUGUGAUUUUUUUAAGAAUUGUUUGGUCCGAAAUUAAUAUUUCACAUUUGUUUGCCGAAUUCCCUCUUUUUUUAAUUUUUGUUUUUUUUAUUUGCUUCCAGCAAACAGGUUAUUUCAUGAUUGUUUGAUUUGGGAGAGAAAUUGUGGUUAGAGAAGGAAUAAGCAGCGGAAGAAAAGAUGGGCAAUUUGAAGCAAGCUCUGAAAAGCCUCGAUGCGUUUCCACGCGCCGAAGAGCAUUUGAUGCUCAAGACAAAAUCUGGCGCCCUCGGUAUUUUUUCUCUAUUAGAAUUUUUUAUUUAUUUUUUAAUUUGUAAUUUUGCUUGUGUGCAUAACUGUUUCAUUGAUCCAUAAAUUUCAUUUUAUUGUACCGUAUUUCAGCCUGUGUGCAUGGUUUCCUACUGUAAAAGAUUAAAAUGAGUGUUAUCUAGCACUUGAAUCGUGGAUCCCGAAGGGGAGAUUAACCUUACGUUGCUUAUGGAAUUGAGGCUUUUUUAGUUGGAGAAUUGUUGGCACAAACUCAAGUUUUAACAAUAUUUUAUAAUUGUUAUUUCCCGUUAGGUCUUUUAGCAUUGAGUUGUGUUACUUAUAGGGGAUCAGUAAUUAUUGACUGGAGCUUCUUUCGCCAAUAUUGCGUUCGGGAUAUUCUUAUGGUGCUUUUUUUUGGAUUAGAAUUCAUAUAACUGCUUUUGGGUAUUGAUCAGAUCCCGUUUCACCAAUUGUUC
rnacentral:lncRNA from 1 species